UCGUACAAAAUGUGAGAGGCACGCAAGGGUUGUCGCUGACUUUUAACACAAAAGUCGUGCACGCCGGAGUGUGUCCUCUCGCAUAAAAUCCAUCUCACCCUUUUGUGCACCACCGCGUGGGCACCCUUCAGGAUCGAGCCGAUCCGGGAGGGGGCUUGCGUUUUCACACAAACCCCCCCUUUUAAAAGUGUAGAAUGACCCCAUUUUUGCGAUAACACGCAAUCAAUA
rnacentral:misc_RNA from 1 species